rnacentral:rRNA from 1 species
GAGACACAGCAGCCGCGGUAAUACGAAGGGUGCAAGCGUUAAUCGGAAUUACUGGGCGUAAAGCGUGCGUAGGCGGUGAGUUAAGUCUGCUGUGAAAUCCCCGGGCUCAACCUGGGAAUGGCAGUGGAUACUGGCUCGCUAGAGUGUGUCAGAGGAUGGUGGAAUUCCCGGUGUAGCGGUGAAAUGCGUAGAGAUCGGGAGGAACAUCAGUGGCGAAGGCGGCCAUCUGGGACAACACUGACGCUGAGGCACGAAAGCGUGGGGAGCAAACAGGAUUAGAUACCCCCGUAGUCCCUGUCUCUUAUACA